GAGUGAUGAAGGCCUUCGGGUCGUAAAACUCUGUCCUCAAGGAAGAUAAUGACGGUACUUGAGGAGGAAGCCCCGGCUAACUACGUGCCAGCAGCCGCGGUAAUACGUAGGGGGCUAGCGUUAUCCGGAUUUACUGGGCGUAAAGGGUGCUUAGGCGGUCGUUCAAGUCAGGAGGGAGAGGCUUCGGCUCAACCGUAGUAAGCUCUUGAAACUGGGAGACUUGAGUGCAGGAGAGGAGAGUGGAAUUCCUAGUGUAGCGGUGAAAUGCGUAGAGAUUAGGAGGAACACCAGUUGCGAAGGCGGCUCUCUGGACUGUAACUGACGCUGAGGCACGAAAGCGUGGGGAGCAAACAGGAUUAGAUACCCUGGUAGUCCACGCUGUAAACGAUGAGUACUAGGUG
rnacentral:rRNA from 1 species